CCCCGCUUGGUUCGGAGGGGAGUGGAGAGACGUGCUGACCAUGGAUGGAGGUGUUUGAGAAUCUGGGAUGAUAAACAGAUGAAGACGGUGGCUGGAGGCCUGAAGGGAAGCAAAAAGUUGGACCUCUGCUGGACUUUUGAAGAGCCUGAAUCCGGUCUGUGUAUCGAGCCAACUUGGAAAUGAUGGGGGGAACAGAUGAAAACUGCAGAUGGACACAAAUCAUUUGGAUCCAUGAAGGUCUGCUUUAAAAAAAAAAGGCAGGCAUGUCGUCCCUCACUUAUUGGAAGGGGAACGCAGCCUCAAGCCCCUGACACCAGAAGAGGGGCCUGCAUGCCAGCAUGUGGCCAGUUCAGGAGCGCUCUGGGAAGCAGCCAACACCUGACAGAUGCCACUUGGGGGAAAAAAUCCCGGAGGAGGAAAGAGAUCCUUCACUUGCCGCGGAGCUGGCCAGAAUACUGAAAAACAGUUUUGCAGUUACAUCAUCCACCGUCCACCCCCGUCGCUGCAAGCUGUAUUAACAUUGUGCUUUAAAAAAUACCAACAGAGUAAACAACAUGUUGGUGAUUUUUCAUUCUCCUAUACAGGUCAUGACAGACCAAAUAAAAUGGAAAAUUGCUUUGCAUAACAGUCUGACGCUUAUGAUGAGAACACGCCGCUGGAUUAUCUCUGCUGUGCUACUCUUCAUUAAUUAACUGAUUAAUUAUUAUUUCUUUUGAAAAAAAAUAAUAUAAAUCAGCGGGAAUAUUUGUUUACUGAUGACAGCGGUUGUUUUCAGUAUGCGUGUCUGUGCGGGUGUGUGUGCGCGCGCGCGCGCGUGUGUGAAAUCUGCCGCGCAGUGCCGGGGAAACAAACAAAAGAGGUGCUUUGAAUGGCACGUGCUGGCAGCGUCACUCACCUGUUUCCUAGCAACCAACACAACAGAAAAGCACCUGUGGCUCUGAAUGGGAGCCAGAAACCAACAACUCAUUUAAAAAUAAAAAGGCAGACCGCAGUAAUAUUCCCAAAACAGGAAGAGACAAAAUCCAUGGAAUAAUUCUGCUGUAUUAAACACAUACACAUAACCUUAUCAUUUAUUGAAAUAUAAAUGAUUACGAUUAUUAUUCUUUAAAAUUAAGCCAAACACUUCAUCAUUCAUGUCCAAGUUGUAGUUUCCUGAGCACAAUGAAGAUUUGCUAUUAAACAUACACUUAUGUCAAUAUGUUCAGGAGCAUUUAACGUAGCUGUAGCUGUGCACUGCACAGAAAUGUUAUAUAUAAAUAUAUGAAUGUGCUUAUUAAUGACUAUGAGCAUAGUUUAUUUCAGAAAAAUACAGUGUUGAUCUGUUUUCCAAGCUUUGAGGUUGUUGUUUUUUAAUCCACAUAAAGAAUUUGUACAUGUGUGUUGUCUGGCAAACUGAACUGUCAAGAGACAAACACUGCUGGUCAUGUUUAGAGCCAGACAUAGACUGAUACCAGAUCAUCUGGAGAGACUGUUUAAACCAGGGGUCUCAAAGAGUCAUAAUGGCCUGGGUUUUGUUCCAUCCAAACUGUUACACACAUAAACCAAUGAGGUGUCUGCUGAAACAAGCAACACCUGACUGACAAUCUAAUGAUUAUAGUCUUCAGUCACCUGAUUUGUGAAAAGGUGUUCUUUUGAUCGGUUGGAACAAAAACCUGCACCGUAUGAUUCCCUUUUGUGGAUCAGUUUGAAACUAACUCCUGAUGAGGAGGAGCAGAGAAGAAGAGGGAGCCUCCGCCAACCUAUAUAUUAGAACCGCACUGAGACACAUGUACCCUGCAAUAGUGGGAGGGAAUAUGUGGAUCUCACUGACAAAGGAAAUGAAAAACCUGAGCAACAUAAAGUUGUUUUUUUUUUAAGAAAAUGGGUCUCAGGCACAAAAACUGCUAGAUUCGUCUGGAGAAGAGACCAUUAAGUUUCUAAUUACCUGAACACACAAAGGACAAAGACACUCAC